rnacentral:rRNA from 1 species
AUGCCGGUGAUCACAGCCAUGUAUCAAGCGCUUCCGCGCCGCGGAUACACCCUCCUCGUCCUCCGCCUCCGGGGGCUUCGCGGGCUCAGCUCGCACGCGGGCGGCGGCGAGCGGUGGAGGGGGCAGCCCCAGCAGCAGCAGCAGCAGGAGGAAAGCAAGGAGGUCAAGGUGUCGGUGUGGUGGGACUUCCAGAAGUGCCAGCUUCCGCCCGACGCCAACCCCUGCCGCGUGGCCCCGCGCGUCACGGCCGCGCUGCGCGCCGCCGGCAUCCGGGGCCCCGUCGAGAUCACCGCCUUCGGCGAUGUUUUCGUGCUCCCCCGCCCCGUCCAGGAGGUCCUCGCGGCCACCGGCGUCGCGUUCUCGCACGUCCCCACCAGUGGAAAGGAUGGUUCUGACAGAUCAUUCAUUGCUGAUCUUGUCUAUUGGAUUGCUCAGAACCCUCCACCAGCCCAUUUCUUCCUUAUAUCUGGGGAUAAACACUUUGCAAAUAUUCUGCAUCGCCUUCGGAUGAGCAAUUACAACAUACUGCUAGCCUGUCCCACUACUGAGCCCAGCAUUCUGUGCAGUGCAGCAACAAUUAUGUGGCCGUGGGAAGCUUUGAUUAAAGGGGAGGGGUUUACUCGGAAACAUUUUAACCAGCCUCCUGAUGGUUUGUCCUGUUCUUGGUAUGGUAAUUACAGGGGAGCUCUUGAUGACCCCUUCCAGAAAGCAGAACCAAAGCACUCCGGAAAUGUAUCAUUGCAAACCAAGAAGCCAGAGAAGCUACCUAUAGUCUCCAGAUCUGCGGUCAACGGGCCUGAUUAUGCCAACUUUAUAGAUCCUCUACCAGGUGAUAGUCAACCCGCUGUAUUUGGUGAAAAAAGCUUUAUGAGAAUGAGUUCUCAGCAAAGUAUUGGUGAGAGAAAAUGCCUCAUUGAGACUAAGAAUGAGAAGCCACGAUCAUCCAGUGUCCCAUCUUCUCCAUCAGAUAUAUUAUCUUUAGAAUCUUUAGAACAAAAGAAAAUUCUGGUCGGUGAUGACCCCUUCCUGCAAGGAGAAUCCAAGCACUCCAUGAAUGUACCAUUGCAGCCCAAGAAACCAGAGGAGACACCUAGAAUCCCCAAAUCUGUGGUCAACUGUAUCAGGAGAGCACUAAACUCUUAUCCUGGAGGGGUCAACGUUGAAGAUCUUCUGAGAGAACUUAAAGAGAACAAGUUGUUUAUGUAUAAUGGAUUAUAUGGCUUGAAAAACUUCAGUGCUCUUCUCCAAGCUAUGCCUGAUUAUGUCAAAUUUAUAGAUCCUUUACCAGGUGAUAGUCAACCUGCCGUAGUUGGUGAAAAAAGCUUUAAUAGAUUUCCUUCUGCUCAAAGUAAUGGUGAGGUAAAAUGCCUCAUUGAGACGAAGAAUGAGAAGCCACCAUCUUCUCCAUCAGAUAUAUUGUCUCCAGAACAAAGGAAGAUUCCGAUAGCUGAUGCUCCAUCUUCCCAGUGUGGUUUGUUAUCUAGAGACCAAAGGAAAGCUCCACCCGUAGAUUUUAUUAAGCCAUCUGAACCACCUGCGUGUCAUAUGGAAGCUGAUAUGGUGAUCACUGCUGCAACUCCCUCCUCGGAGGCUCAAGGUACUACUGGUAAAAAAGGGCUACUUGAAAGGAUUCAGAUACUAUGGACUGGUCCCAAGACCAUUAAGCCCCAGGUCCAUCCAUCUCAUGAUGCUACUUUUUCUGAAGGGUCCAGUGAUGUAACAAGCCAGGAAGGGCAACAUAACAGACGUUUGAGAAAGGCCAUGAAGAAUUGUUCCACAACUGACAGUCCUGAUGUGAAUGGUCCUGAUAACAGUUCAGCAGGCAGCACUAGUUUGUCAAAUGACCUGUCUAAUAACUGUUCUGAAACAGAUGUCAAGGGGGAUUUUGCAAAUACAAAGAAUCACUCUGGCGAAACAGUCAAAAUCAGCAAGCCUGAAAAGAUACGAGGUUCUGGAGAAAGCAACAAAGGAAUAUUUAGCUGGGCAGCAAGGUGGUGGUCAGCUGGAAAAUCAGAUAAAAAAGAUAAUCAAAAUCGUGAUGGAACAAGGAAAGAUUUGGACAAAGGAUGUUCAUUUGUUAACAGUGCAAGUGGACAGCAAGUAGGAGUUGAAAUGUUUGAAAAAUCUUACUUCUGGGAUGCACUACAGCAAUAUCUUUUAACCCAUCAUGGAGCAAAACUUGUUUCAGAAGCAAAGGCAAGGGAGGAGUUGGCACAUGGACUGCAGAAGGGCUGUUCGCUUCUCAAAGGCCUUGACGAGAGACAUAUCCAUCAGUUAGUACAGCUGUUGAUCUCUGAGAAGAAAUGGAUCAAGGAGUGUAGGUCGGAAACUUUUCAUUUCCAACUUACGCUGCCUCAGAGAGGAACAUGUGCUCCAUUAUAUUCCUGUAAACCAGAAGGGUCAAGUUCUCUUGCAAAUGGAAGCACAACCAUAUCAAGUAAGUUGUUCCCUGCAAGAAACGGAAACAGCCAGGCCAGCUGCAAGGGCAAUGAAGACCAAGGUAAUGUCGAUGACUUUGCCUGGGAAGAGCUUGGUCCUGUGUCCAGUGCUGGUGAUCCUCAUCCAGAAACUGAUAAAGUGGUGCGCUAUCACCCUCCCACCUCGUCAGAUGAUGAGUUUUCUGAUGGUGAAAUUCAUGCGAUAGAUGAACAAGCAGGAAAAGAUUCGGAUGCUGAAUUUUCCGAGGAUGAAAAUCAUACAGCAAGCCAACAAGCAAGAAGAGACCCAUCACGGAGCUCGCUCGUCGAAAUUAUUGCCUCGUGGGAAACACAAACAGGCAAGGAUGAUGGUUCACCGCCAAGAAAUUUCAAGGCGGAAUGCUCUCGAUCGAAUAAACAUUAUCGUCAGUGUUAUCGUCCUUCGACCAAGCAGCAGCAACACUCGUGA